ensembl:lncRNA
AGCCCGUGCCGUGUUUCUUGUCCCUGGCGCCUGCUCGGUGCCAUCCCAGUGAGUUUGAUUGAAACGCGGCUGCAAGAAGGGGUGAAGACACCCGAUGAAGCUAUAUUUAGAGAAGACUAAUAUGAAGAACACUUGUGCAACGUGUUCCAGUCCGGGAACCAUAAGCUCAAGGCUUCAGCACCACGAGGCAGAAGAGGAGCAUGGGGAGGAGGGGAGUGGACCACACCUCCUCCUGCCACAUCUGGCUGGGUACUGGAGCCGACAGCUGGGCAAAUGGAAACCUCACUUACAGAGGACAGCUUCCCCGGACAGAGGGCGGAGGGCUGCGCGGAGGCCCAGCCGGCUGGACGUCCGAAAGCGGAGCCUGCUCAGCGAGACAGAAAGCAAACGAAAUCACUCAAGGGAAACUUGGCUGGAGACAAAACAGAUUCAAUUUCCCGACUCCUCUGCUUUCUCUCCCGAAUUAUUUGCUUUCGCAGAGGCACAUUAAACAAAUAAAACACUAAAAAUGGAAGCUCCUCUGCUCCCUGGCUCAGA